rnacentral:ncRNA from 1 species
AUUUGUGCUAUGAAAAAGAGAGUAGGCAUAAACUGCGACGCAGAGAGCAGGGCCAUGGCUGAAAGCCCGGUGAUACAGGUUGUGCCGAAGUUCACUUUGGAGCAUCCGUUUUGAAAAUAAGUAGGAACGGCGUUUGCCGCGUUAAGGCGUUAUGAGGUACAAAACAGGGUGGUACCGCGGAAGUUAUGCAGCUUUCGCCCCUUUG